GUGUUGACUUUUGGUGGAGGAACCAGACUGGAUGUUGGAAGUGAUGUCCGUCCCACCCUGACGGUGCUGCCCCCCUCCAGCGAGGAGCUGCAGCAGGGGAAGGCCACGCUCAUGUGCCUGGCCAACAAGGGCUUCCCCUCAGACUGGAGUCUGGCCUGGAAGGUGGACGGCAGCAGCAGCAGCAGCAGCAGCAGCUGGGAGGAGAGCAGGAGCCCCGGGGUGCUGGAGAAGGACGGCCACUACAGCUGGAGCAGCACCCUGAGGCUCCCUGCAGACCAGUGGAGGAAGGUGGGCUCUGUGACCUGUGAGGCCACCCAGGGAUCCCAGACUCCGCUCUCAGAGACGCUGAGGAGAGACCAGUGUCCCCAGUCCUGACCCGACUCACUGGGACUCUGCUACUGGUUUAACUCUGAUACUGCUCUCACUCUGCAACUGUCUCUCUCUUUUAUUUGACAUGUUUCAAUAACAAUAUUUACUAGCUUGUUGCAAUGUUUCAAUAUUAUUUCAGUGUUUCCAGAUAAUAAAGACGUUUUCAUCAAA